rnacentral:rRNA from 1 species
UACGAAGGGGGCUAGCGUUGCUCGGAAUGACUGGGCGUAAAGGGCGCGUAGGCGGUUUGGACAGUCAGGCGUGAAAUUCCUGGGCUUAACCUGGGGGCUGCGCUUGAUACAUCCAGACUUGAGUGGGGAAGAGGGUCGUGGAAUUCCCAGUGUAGAGGUGAAAUUCGUAGAUAUUGGGAAGAACACCGGUGGCGAAGGCGGCGACCUGGUCCUUUACUGACGCUGAGGCGCGAAAGCGUGGGGAGCGAACAGG